rnacentral:rRNA from 1 species
GGAUGAACGCCGGCGGUGUGCCUAAUACAUGCAAGUCGUACGCACUGGCCCAACUGAUUGAUGCUGCUUGCACCUGAUUGACGAUGGAUCACCAGUGAGUGGCGGACGGGUGAGUAACACGUAGGUAACCUGCCUCGGAGCGGGGGAUAACAUUUGGAAACAGAUGCUAAUACCGCAUAACAACAAAAGCCACAUGGCUUUUGUUUGAAAGAUGGCUUUGGCUAUCACUCUGGGAUGGACCUGUGGUGCAUUAGCUAGUUGGUAAGGUAACGGCUUACCAAGGCAAUGAUGCAUAGCCGAGUUGAGAGACUGAUCGGCCACAAUGGAACUGAGACACGGUCCAUACUCCUACGGGAGGCAGCAGUAGGGAAUCUUCCACAAUGGGCGCAAGCCUGAUGGAGCAACACCGCGUGAGUGAAGAAGGGUUUCGGCUCGUAAAGCUCUGUUGUUGGAGAAGAACGUGCGUGAGAGUAACUGUUCACGCAGUGACGGUAUCCAACCAGAAAGUCACGGCUAACUACGUGCCAGCAGCCGCGGUAAUACGUAGGUGGCAAGCGUUAUCCGGAUUUAUUGGGCGUAAAGCGAGCGCAGGCGGUUGCUUAGGUCUGAUGUGAAAGCCUUCGGCUUAACCGAAGAAGUGCAUCGGAAACCGGGCGACUUGAGUGCAGAAGAGGACAGUGGAACUCCAUGUGUAGCGGUGGAAUGCGUAGAUAUAUGGAAGAACACCAGUGGCGAAGGCGGCUGUCUGGUCUGCAACUGACGCUGAGGCUCGAAAGCAUGGGUAGCGAACAGGAUUAGAUACCCUGGUAGUCCAUGCCGUAAACGAUGAGUG